rnacentral:lncRNA from 1 species
GUUAAUGUCAAUCCAUCUUCGCUAGCCAAGGGUUACGAUCCACUCCCGCUCUCUUCACCCUUGGCGGAUUGAGAUAAUAUUUCGGAGACACAAGGUAAGGAUUUUUAUUGGUUGCAGUAGAAACUCGCUGCAUCCAAUCAAAAAGCGCCUAUACCAUGAUCACGUGUAAAUGUAGAAAGUGUUUGUAAACAAUUGCCACGUGUUUAUUGUGCAACAAGUCUUUACAUCUAUAAACUUACGACUAUAUUUAGUGACAACUUGAAUGUUUUUAAUCAACUAAUAGAAGUUUCUGUGUAUGUUUCAUGCACAAAUGCAUGAAUGUUGACGUAUAUUUUCGUUUCCGGCUUUACCAA